rnacentral:lncRNA from 1 species
GAGACCAAGCACAUCACAUAAAGGUUUUAGGUAUAGUUGAAACACUAGCACCAAGGUCACACAAAGCAUUGCAUUCAUCAUGCAACUUUCUAGGAAUAGAAACUUCAAGCUCAAGUUUCUCAUCAUAAUCUUUCACCAUAGCUUCCACUAUAUGUUGAGUAAAAGCUUUGUUUCACUCAUAAGCAUUACGUGAGCUAAUAAUGGAUUGCGGCAAGGAAAUACAUUCUACUAAAGAGAAAUUAUCAUAAUUGAAGUCCUUGUAAUCCAAAAUAGUGGGCACAUCAUUAGUAAAAGUUUUCACCUGUCCAAGCUCACAUUUCCCAGUUUUAGUAGUAAAAUCAUCACCCUCCAAGCAAAUGGGACACCUGUUUACUAUGGUUGACUCAUCUCCAGUCCCUUUAUCAUUAACAUUCACAGAAGCAAACAAAUAUUCAAUAGGAGAAGUACCAAUCAUUUUAAGAUCUUCAUCAUGAUUCCGGUACAAACCGGGUGGAAGAGCUUUUUCUAGGAAUUCCAUCUUAGCUUGCAACUUAGC